rnacentral:rRNA from 1 species
GACAGAGGGUGCAAACGUUGCUCGGAAUUACUGGGCGUAAAGGGCGUGUAGGCGGGCAGGUAAGUCGGGCGUGAAAAUCCCUGGGCUCAACCCAGGAACUGCACUCGAAACUACUUGCCUUGAGUGCCGGAGAGGAAAGCGGAAUUCCUGGUGUAGAGGUGAAAUUCGUAGAUAUCAGGAGGAACACCAGUGGCGAAGGCGGCUUUCUGGACGGUAACU